CAGUAGCCGCGGUAAUACGAAGGGGGCUAGCGUUGUUCGGAAUUACUGGGCGUAAAGCGCACGCAGGCGGCUCGAUAAAUUAGAAGUGAAAGCCUUGGGCUUAACCUGAGAAUUGCUUUUAAGACUGUCGAGCUAGAAUCCAGAAGAGGGUAGUGGAAUUCCGAGUGUAGAGGUGAAAUUCGUAGAUAUUCGGAAGAACACCAGUGGCGAAGGCGACUACCUGGUCUGGCAUUGACGCUCAUGUGCGAAAGCGUGGGGAGCAAACAGGAUUAGAUACCCCCGUAGUCCCUGUCUCUUAUAC
rnacentral:rRNA from 1 species